AUGGCCGUGAGGGGGCUGGAUCUGGUUGGGGAAGGAGCAACGAGACAGGUUGUCGAUGAUGCUGUGGUGGCCUGGACCGUCGUUCUUGGCCGCGCCGCACAGGCCGCCCUCUACGGCAGCCGCUCCGUCGUCCUUGGCCCAGCCAUCUGCAGCAGCAGCAACGUCGACUAUGGCGAAGAAGGGAAGGAGCAGGCGGGCGCCAUGGGGAGGAAGGGGAAGAGCAGGGCAGAGCCAUGGGAAGGAAGGGAAGGAGAGCAGCAGGGGGCGCCAUGGGGAGGAAGGGAAGGAGAGCAGCAGGGCGGCGCCAUGGGAAGGAAGGGAAGGAGAGCAGCAGGGCGGCGCCAUAGGGAAGGAAGGCGAGAAGCAGGGGCAGCGCCGCAGGAGGGAAUCAGUCGAGAAAAAAGGACGAGAGACAAUGCUAUUUACAAUUACAUGAGGAAGGCGGUGGUCGGCGGCGUGUACGCCAAUGGCGGCGGCUGGGCAUCGGUGGCGCAGUCUAAUGUCAUCAUGGAGAAAUUGUUCAAUUUCUCGGAGCAGCUUCAGGUUCAUUUCGUCAAGUUUUUCUCUGUUGACCCUCUUGGACAUCGUGGCGACGUCAGGUGUUUCCUACUGGAUUUUGGUGGAGAAGUCUUUUUCAUCACAAAGGCAUGGGGACGCGUUAUGGUUCUCGGCAUCGAACCAACGGAGAAACAGACGCUCGCGCCUGUGGAGACCGUGGGCAGGUAUGCCAUCUUCAUCGGUCAUCAAAGGUGCCUGGUUGUUGAUGCCGCCAUGUUCCCAUCCGUUGAGGCAGACUGCGUCUACUACACUCUAGACGUUGGUAAAUUUGCUUUCAUCUGGAAGCACAGCAUCAGUGAUGGGAAAGACGAGAGGGUGUUUGACGCCAUCGAUUUCGUCAAGGAGAACAAGCGGUUCGUCCCUGUCGGUGCCCGUCCUUUCACCAUCAUCCAGCUUCUCUCGAGCUACACCAUCAACCUCAGCGAUUCUGAACUGGCCUCAACACAAAGCUUUUAUCAGGUGUUGAUGAGAAUACAACAGCAGGCACAGAACAUUAGUUUGAUACUUUGGAACCUUGACAAGUGGGUUAAAUUCUUCAUCUCCAGAACUGAAAUGCAUCAGGGGCCUGAAGGUCCUGGAGGCUGGGGUCUUGAUGAAUUUAAUCCCCAGUUAUCAUCCUUUCCCACCCAAGAGGGCUUGAGGCUUGAGAAAUGCCUGGCUUAUCAAUCCAUGGGCAUGUUCACAAAUAAACCUAGAGUUACAUGUGAUGAUUUGGCAGAUAUAUCUCGAGGUGAUGGCAAGUUCUGGGCCAUUGAUAAACCAGGCAUUUCUCGGACCCCCUCUUUGGUGGAAAAGGAAGAUAACUACAAGGAGUGA
rnacentral:rRNA from 1 species